AGGGGUGUCGUACAAUGGUAGUACAGCGGUCUCCAAAACCGUUAACGCGGGUUCGAUUCCUGUCACCCCUGCCA
rnacentral:tRNA from 1 species